GUACACUCCUACGGGAGGCAGCAGUGGGGAAUUUUGGACAAUGGGCGAAAGCCUGAUCCAGCAAUGCCGCGUGAGUGAAGAAGGCCUUCGGGUUGUAAAGCUCUUUUGUCAGGGAAGAAACGGUGAAAGCUAAUAUCUUUUGCUAAUGACGGUACCUGAAGAAUAAGCACCGGCUAACUACGUGCCAGCAGCCGCGGUAAUACGUAGGGUGCAAGCGUUAAUCGGAAUUACUGGGCGUAAAGCGUGCGCAGGCGGUUUUGUAAGUCUGAUGUGAAAUCCCCGGGCUCAACCUGGGAAUUGCAUUGGAGACUGCAAGGCUAGAAUCUGGCAGAGGGGGGUAGAAUUCCACGUGUAGCAGUGAAAUGCGUAGAUAUGUGGAGGAACACCGAUGGCGAAGGCAGCCCCCUGGGUCAAGUUUGACGCUCAUGCACGAAAGCGUGGGGAGCAAACAGGAUUAGAUACCCUAGUAGUCCCA
rnacentral:rRNA from 1 species